UAUUGGUGGUGCAGGCAAUUUAUUUGAAGAUAUUUGAAUCUCUCCCAUGCAAGAUACAAAUUUUCAACUGGCUUUUGUUUAAAACUCAAAAUUUUACUACGUAAUCA
rfam:Capsicum annuum cultivar Zunla-1 chromosome 11, whole genome shotgun sequence